UACGUAGGUGGCGAGCGUUAUCCGGAAUGAUUGGGCGUAAAGGGUGCGUAGGCGGGCUGUUAAGUCAGCGGUCAAAUGUCGGGGCUCAACCCCGGCCCGCCGUUGAAACUGGCAGUCUCGAGUUGGAGAGAAGUAUGCGGAAUGCGCGGUGUAGCGGUGAAAUGCUUAGAUAUCGCGCAGAACCCCGAUUGCGAAGGCAGCGUACCGGCUCUACACUGACGCUGAGGCACGAAAGCGUGGGUAUCGAACAGG
rnacentral:rRNA from 1 species